AUGGGGGGCGGCUACACAUGCAAGUCGAACGGUAACAGGAAGCAGCUUGCUGCUUUGCUGACGAGUGGCGGACGGGUGAGUAAUGUCUGGGAAACUGCCUGAUGGAGGGGGAUAACUACUGGAAACGGUAGCUAAUACCGCAUAACGUCGCAAGACCAAAGUGGGGGACCUUCGGGCCUCAUGCCAUCAGAUGUGCCCAGAUGGGAUUAGCUUGUUGGUGGGGUAACGGCUCACCAAGGCGACGAUCCCUAGCUGGUCUGAGAGGAUGACCAGCCACACUGGAACUGAGACACGGUCCAGACUCCUACGGGAGGCAGCAGUGGGGAAUAUUGCACAAUGGGCGCAAGCCUGAUGCAGCCAUGCCGCGUGUAUGAAGAAGGCCUUCGGGUUGUAAAGUACUUUCAGUGAGGAGGAAGGCAUGAUGCUUAAUACGCAUCGUGAUUGACGUUACUCACAGAAGAAGCACCGGCUAACUCCGUGCCAGCAGCCGCGGUAAUACGGAGGGUGCAAGCGUUAAUCGGAAUUACUGGGCGUAAAGCGCACGCAGGCGGUCUGUUAAGUCAGAUGUGAAAUCCCCGGGCUCAACCCGGGAACUGCAUUUGAAACUGGCAGGCUUGAGUCUCGUAGAGGGGGGUAGAAUUCCAGGUGUAGCGGUGAAAUGCGUAGAGAUCUGGAGGAAUACCGGUGGCGAAGGCGGCCCCCUGGACGAAGACUGACGCUCAGGUGCGAAAGCGUGGGGAGCAAACAGGAUUAGAUACCCUGGUAGUCCACGCCGUAAACGAUGUCGACUUGGAGGUUGUGCCCUUGAGGCGUGGCUUCCGGAGCUAACGCGUUAAGUCGACCGCCUGGGGAGUACGGCCGCAAGGUUAAAACUCAAAUGAAUUGACGGGGGCCCGCACAAGCGGUGGAGCAUGUGGUUUAAUUCGAUGCAACGCGAAGAACCUUACCUG
rnacentral:rRNA from 1 species